AUGCCGGUGACGGACUACCAGGGGGCGUCGUCCUCCCCGUCGCCCUUCUCCUUCGGCUCGCUCCUCUCGCUCCGCCGUGACCACACGGCCAUGGCGUCGGGCGAGGAGGCCGACCUCGAGGUCUUCCAGCGCCACCUGGCCGCCAACCUCGGGGACCUGCUGCCCGCGGAGGCGGCCGAGGGAGUGCCCGCGCAGGAGGAGAUCCUCUCCGUCGCCUGGAUCCGCCGCCUCCUCGAGGCCUUCAUCCUCUGCCAGGAGGAGUUCCGGGUCGUGCUGGCGCAGGCGCGCCGCCGCGGGGCGCUGCCGGCCGCGGCCGAGCGCCUCGUCGCCGAGUUCCACGAGAGGGCCGUCAAGGCGCUCGACGUCUGCAACGCGGCCCGCGACGGCGUCGACCAGGUGCGCCGCCUCGAGCGCCUCGCCGACAUCGCCGCCUCCGUGCUCCUCGCGCCCGGGGAGAUCCACGAGGGCCAGCUCCGCCGCGCCCGCAAGGCCGUCUCCGAGCUCUCCGUCCUGCUCGUCGACGACACCACCGCCGCCGCCAGCGGGGGCGUCGCCUCCUUCCUCGCCUCCCACCGCAACCGCUCCUUCGGCCGCGCUCGCGCGUCCCCGUCGCGCGGCUCGGCCACCGGCUCCUCCGCCGCCUCAUCGGCGUCCCAUUUCCGCUCCCUCUCCUGGAGCGUGUCCCGCGCGUGGUCGGCGUCGCGGCAGCUGCAGGCCAUCGGGGCCGGGCUGACCGCGCCGCGCGCCCACGAGGGGGGCCUCGUGGCGCCGGUCUAUGCCAUGGGCUGCAUACUCCACUUCACGGCGUGGGCGCUCGUCGCCGCCGUCCCAUGCCCGGACCGCUCCAGCGCGCUCCUGGCGCACCACCUGCCCGUGGCGCCAGCGCGCGCCGCAUUCCCCUGGGCGCCGCCUCUCCUCACCCUGCAAGAACGCCUGGCCGAGGAGGGGAAGCGCAAGGAGAGGCGCUCUUCCUGCGGCCUGCUCAAGGAAAUCCACGUGCUUGAUAAAGCCACACAGAAGCUCGCUGACGCCAUUGACGCGGCCCCCAUCCCGCUCUUCGGGGACAGGGAGGCCGACCUGCGGGAGGCCGCGGCGGAGCUCUCCGCCGUGUGCGCGGCCAUGAGGGAAGGGCUGGAGCCGCUGGAGAAGCAGGUGCGGGAGGUGUUCCACCGCAUCGUGCGCAGCCGCGUGGAGGGCCUCGAUUCCUCCAUGCACAAUGCUGAUUGA
rnacentral:rRNA from 1 species